AUCUGAGGAAGUGGAGCCCUUUGAGAAUCCCUGGGAUGUGUUACUGCGUGCAGAGGAAAGAACAGCAUUUAGUGUUUCCUGGGGUGGCCGAGGCAGGAGGAUCUCCCAGUUCAAGGCGAGGCUGGGCUACACGACAGAGGGGAGUCAGCUCCUGCCAGCUCUCAGGAGGCCCCAGAGCGCCCACUCUCAGGGCCAAGCACGUCUGUAGCGGGCAGAGUGCGUGCCCGGGCGACAUGCUGACCUGGACCCGGGCUGACGGAGCGCAGGUCUUCCCUCCUGCAGCCCGUGAGAAGCUUUUGCAGACCUUCCGACACUGGGAGCGAGAACCAACUCUGGCUCCGUGAGCUCCUCCAACAGCUCAAUGUCAGCCUGUGAGCAAUUUUACCGCUCAGAUCUGUGAGGAUAACGAGGUCUCCUUGGGGUUGGUGGAGCAGCUCUUACUGGGGAGCCAGAAGAAGUACGUGGAUCUGGACUGCAGCCCAGGAGCACUUGCUGGGGCAGCUUGGGAGAUGUCACCAGUAGUGACGGGAAGGACCCCUGGCUCUGUCCCAAAAGUCAAAGUGACUGUGAAGGGAGACGUCGUGAUGGAUUCAGGAUUGAGGCUGCCACACAGCACAACUAAAGACCCUCAGAAAAGAGGACUCCAGAGCUGCUGCAGGAAGUGGCCAGGACCAUGGGAUGAGUGCGCUGGAACUGAGGGGGAGGACUUUAAAGGGGAUUCAUGGCAAAGUGUCCUUUCCUGGAAUAAUUUUUAAAUUUUAAAAGAUGCAAUCAUUCAUAGUAGUUUUUGAUCAGAUCUUGUGAUUGCAGUAAGUCAGGCAGCCAGCUUUCCACUCUUCCCUUCCCUUCCUUCCUUUUUCAUCCUUUCUGUUCCUUCUUCAUGCUGCUAUUUCUGCUCUUGUAACUGCUUCUUCUCACAUAGUUAUUAUGAGACUCAGUAACUUUUAAGAGAAUAUUUUAAAUUUCA
rnacentral:lncRNA from 1 species